CGUAUCCUACGGGGGGCAGCAGUGAGGAAUAUUGGUCAAUGGGCGGGAGCCUGAACCAGCCAAGUCGCGUGAGGGAAGAAGGUACUGAGUAUUGUAAACCUCUUUUGCCAGGGGACAAAGGCGGCCACGGGUGGCCGUAAGAGGGUACCUGGAGAAAAAGCAUCGGCUAACUCCGUGCCAGCAGCCGCGGUAAUACGGAGGAUGCGAGGGUUAUCCGGAUUUACUGGGUGUAAAGGGAGCGUAGACGGAAAGGCAAGUCAGAAGUGAAAACCCAAGGCUCAACCAUGGGACUGCUUUUGAAACUG
rnacentral:rRNA from 1 species